rnacentral:rRNA from 7 species
ACGGGUGCGUAACGCGUGGGAAUCUGCCCCUUGGUUCGGAAUAACCGUUGGAAACGACGGCUAAUACCGGAUGACGACGUAAGUCCAAAGAUUUAUCGCCGAGGGAUGAGCCCGCGUAGGAUUAGCUAGUUGGUGUGGUAAAGGCGCACCAAGGCGACGAUCCUUAGCUGGUCUGAGAGGAUGAUCAGCCACACUGGGACUGAGACACGGCCCAGACUCCUACGGGAGGCAGCAGUGGGGAAUAUUGGACAAUGGGCGCAAGCCUGAUCCAGCAAUGCCGCGUGAGUGAUGAAGGCCUUAGGGUUGUAAAGCUCUUUUACCCGGGAUGAUAAUGACAGUACCGGGAGAAUAAGCUCCGGCUAACUCCGUGCCAGCAGCCGCGGUAAUACGGAGGGAGCUAGCGUUGUUCGGAAUUACUGGGCGUAAAGCGCACGUAGGCGGCUUUGUAAGUUAGAGGUGAAAGCCUGGAGCUCAACUCCAGAAUUGCCUUUAAGACUGCAUCGCUUGAAUCCAGGAGAGGUGAGUGGAAUUCCGAGUGUAGAGGUGAAAUUCGUAGA